CAGUGAUGUCUGAACAAAUUAUUUAAAUAAGCAAAACUUUCAACAACGGAUCUCUUGGUUCCGGCAUCGAUGAAGAACGCAGCGAAAUGCGAUAAGUAAUGUGGACCGCAGUACUCAGCGACUCAUCGAAUCUUUGAACGCACAUUGCGCCCUUU
rnacentral:rRNA from 1 species